UGGGGAAUAUUGGACAAUGGGCGAAAGCCUGAUCCAGCCAUGCCGCGUGUGUGAAGAAGGUCUUCGGAUUGUAAAGCACCUUAAGUUGGGAGGAAGGGCAGUAAGCGAAUACCUUGCUGUUUUGACGUUACCGACAGAAUAAGCACCGGCUAACUCUGUGCCAGCAGCCGCGGUAAUACAGAGGGUGCAAGCGUUAAUCGGAAUUACUGGGCGUAAAGCGCGCGUAGGUGGUUCGUUAAGUUGAAUGUGAAAGCCCCGGGCUCAACCUGGGAACUGCAUCCCAAACUGGCGAGCUAGAGUAGGGCAGAGGGUGGUGGAAUUUCCUGUGUAGCGGUGAAAUGCGUAGAUAUAGGAAGGAACACCAGUGGCGAAGGCGACCACCUGGUCUCAUACUGACACUGAGGUGCGAAAGCGUGGGGAGCAAACAGG
rnacentral:rRNA from 1 species